UGGUGAUGGUGAUGAUGGUGGUGAUGAUGAUGGUGAUGCGGACGGGAGUCUCGGUCAUCAUCUCCACCAUCUUCUCUA
rnacentral:miRNA from 1 species